rnacentral:rRNA from 1 species
UCGCGUCAAGAUAUGCCUAGGUGGGAUUAGCUAGUUGGUGAGGUAAUGGCUCACCAAGGCGACGAUCCCUAGCUGGUCUGAGAGGAUGAUCAGCCACACUGGAACUGAGACACGGUCCAGACUCCUACGGGAGGCAGCAGUGGGGAAUAUUGCACAAUGGGCGCAAGCCUGAUGCAGCCAUGCCGCGUGUAUGAAGAAGGCCUUCGGGUUGUAAAGUACUUUCAGCAGUGAGGAAGGGGGUGUCGUUAAUAGCGGCAUCUCUUGACGUUAGCUGCAGAAGAAGCACCGGAUAACUCU